GAUGAACGCUGGCGGCGUGCCUAAUACAUGCAAGUCGAGCGAACGGACGAGAAGCUUGCUUCUCUGAUGUUAGCGGCGGACGGGUGAGUAACACGUGGAUAACCCACCUCUAAGACUUGGAUAACUUCGGGAAACCGUAGCUAAUACCGGAUAAUAUUUUGAACCGCAUGGUUCAAAAGUGAAAGACGGUCUUUCUGUCACUUAUAGAUGGAUCCGCGCUGCAUUAGCUAGUUGGUAAGGUAACGGCUUACCAAGGCAACGAUGCAUAGCCGACCUGAGAGGGUGAUCGGCCACACUGGAACUGAGACACGGUCCAGACUCCUACGGGAGGCAGCAGUAGGGAAUCUUACGCAAUGGGCGAAAGCCUGACGGAGCAACGCCGCGUGAGUGAUGAAGGUCUUCGGAUCGUAAAACUCUGUUAUUAGGGAAGAACAUAUGUGUAAGUAACUGUGCACAUCUUGACGGUACCUAAUCAGAAAGCCACGGCUAACUACGUG
rnacentral:rRNA from 1 species